GGCGAGUGGCGGACGGGUGAGUAAUAUAUCGGAACGUGCCCAGUAGCGGGGGAUAACUACUCGAAAGAGUGGCUAAUACCGCAUACGCCCUACGGGGGAAAGGGGGGGAUCGCAAGACCUCUCACUAUUGGAGCGGCCGAUAUCGGAUUAGCUAGUUGGUGGGGUAAAGGCUCACCAAGGCAACGAUCCGUAGCUGGUUUGAGAGGACGACCAGCCACACUGGGACUGAGACACGGCCCAGACUCCUACGGGAGGCAGCAGUGGGGAAUUUUGGACAAUGGGGGAAACCCUGAUCCAGCCAUCCCGCGUGUAUGAUGAAGGCCUUCGGGUUGUAAAGUACUUUUGGCAGAGAAGAAAAGGCAUCCCCUAAUACGGGAUGCUGCUGACGGUAUCUGCAGAAUAAGCACCGGCUAACUACGUGCCAGCAGCCGCGGUAAUACGUAGGGUGCAAGCGUUAAUCGGAAUUACUGGGCGUAAAGCGUGUGUAGGCGGUUCGGAAAGAAAGAUGUGAAAUCCCAGGGCUCAACCUUGGAACUGCAUUUUUAACUGCCGAGCUAGAGUAUGUCAGAGGGGGG
rnacentral:rRNA from 1 species